rnacentral:rRNA from 1 species
UUUGGAGGGCACAUCUGGUGCCCGCCGCCGCGGUAAUUCCAGCUCCCAUAGCGUAUAUUAAAGUUGUUGCAGUUAAAAAGCUCGUAGUUGAAUUUCGGGGUUAGUAGGUUGGUCGUGCCACUGGUAUGCACUGGUCUUACUGAUUUCUCCUUUCUGAAGAACCGUAAUGCCAUUAAUUUGGGGUUGCCGGAACACAGGACUGUUACUUUGAAAAAAUUAAA